ACAUUGCGUCAACAACCGCUAGGUCCAUCGCAAUGCUUUGUUUUAAUUAGACAGUCGGAUUCCCCUGGUCAGUGCCAGUUCUAAGUUGUUCUUUAGAUGGUGGCCGUAGGAGACGCGCGGGACGGCCAGUUGCCCAGCCGCCGUGAUCCACGGCCCCCUGAAGCUUGAAAGGUCCACGGGGUAGGCCGAAGCGCUGGGACCGGGAUUGAUCUCGCCUUGCGGCUCGACCUCACCCAGGCCCGGCAUCCGACACAAGAACCGACCGCUUCUCUGACAAGCCCGACUCACCUAGAACCUCAGAGCCAAUCCUUAUCCCGAAGUUACGGAUCCAAUUUGCCGACUUCCCUUACCUACAUUAUUCUAUCGACUAGAGGCUAUUCACCUUGGAGACCUGCUGCGGAUAUGGGUACGAACCAGAUCGGAUGUCCACGUGGCCCUCACCCGGAUUUUCAAGGUCCGAGAGGACGCUGCCGACAUCGCCGCAAGUGCGAUGCUCUUCGCGCGCUGCCCCCUAUCUCCCUGCUAGAGGCUUCC
rnacentral:rRNA from 1 species